AUACAAACUAGAUCCUGCAAGCUUCUGAGUUUAAUACUGGGUUUCGAUUAAUGGGCUAAGAAAAACUAAAUAAAACAAAAUAAAACAAAAGAAAACCCUCAUUUUCCUAUCCGGAGGUUACCCAAGAGAAAUGAAGACUCAAGUAAAGUGAGCAUCCUGGGAGCUGAAGAUGCCCUAGGGUUCCAUGGC
rnacentral:lncRNA from 1 species